rnacentral:rRNA from 1 species
UUCACUUGUUGGUGAGGUAGUGGCUCACCAAGGCGUCGACGGGUAGCCGGCCUGAGAGGGUGACCGGCCACACUGGGACUGAGACACGGCCCAGACUCCUACGGGAGGCAGCAGUGGGGAAUAUUGCACAAUGGGCGCAAGCCUGAUGCAGCAACGCCGCGUGAGGGACGACGGCCUUCGGGUUGUAAACCUCUUUUAGUUGGGAAGAAGCCUUCGGGUGACGGUACCUUCAGAAAAAGCACCGGCUAACUACGUGCCAGCAGCCGCGGUAAUACGUAGGGUGCAAGCGUUAUCCGGAAUUAUUGGGCGUAAAGAGCUCGUAGGCGGUUUGUCACGUCUGCUGUGAAAACUGGAGGCUCAACUUCCAGCUUGCAGUGGGUACGGGCAGACUUGAGUGCGGUAGGGGAGAUCGGAAUUCCUGGUGUAGCGGUGGAAUGCGCAGAUAUCAGGAGGAACACCGAUGGCGAAGGCAGAUCUCUGGGCCGUAACUGACGCUGAGGAGCGAAAGAGUGGGGAGCAAACAGGCUUAGAUACCCUGGUAGUCCACUCCGUAAACGUUGGGAACUAGUUGUGGGGGCCUU